rnacentral:rRNA from 1 species
AUUGAACGCUGGCGGCAUGCUUUACACAUGCAAGUCGAGCGGCAGCACGGGGGCAACCCUGGUGGCGAGCGGCGAGCGGGUGAGUAAUACAUCGGAACAUGCCCAGUCGUGGGGGAUAACACUUCGAAAGAAGUGCUAAUACCGCAUACGUCCUGAGGGAGAAAUCGGGGGAUCUUCGGACCUUGCGCGAUUGGAGUGGCCGUUGUCAGAUUAGCUAGUUGGUGGGGUAAAGGCCUACCAAGGCAACGAUCUGUAGCUGGUCUGAGAGGAUGAUCAGCCACACUGGGACUGAGACACGGCCCAGACUCCUACGGGAGGCAGCAGUGGGGAAUUUUGGACAAUGGGGGCAACCCUGAUCCAGCCAUUCCGCGUGAGUGAAGAAGGCCUUCGGGUUGUAAAGCUCUUUCGGCAGGAACGAAACGGCGAGCUCUAACAUAGCUUGCUAAUGACGGUACCUGAAGAAGAAGCACCGGCUAACUACGUGCCAGCAGCCGCGGUAAAAC